GCACCCGUCUUACCCAGCCCUUACUCUCUCUGCUUUUUAGACAGAGAAACAGCUCGUACUUAGUACGAGCACUGGGGAUUCCCUCGUCGUGGUUUCCCACAUUGCGAAGUGUUCGCG
rnacentral:rRNA from 1 species